CGCCUUGCCAGCCCGCUCAGAAACUUAAAGGAAUUGACGGGGGCCGCACAAGCGGUGGAGCAUGUGGUUAAUUCGAAGCAACGCGAAGAACCUUACCAGGCCUUGACAUGCAGAGAACUUCCAGAGAUGGAUUGGUGCCUUCGGGAACUCUGACACAGGUGCUGCAUGGCUGUCGCCAGCUCGUGUCGUGAGAUGUUGGGUUAAGUCCCGUAACGAGCGCAACCCUUGUCCUUAGUUACCAGCACGUUAUGGUGGGCACUCUAAGGAGACUGCCGGUGACAAACCGGAGGAAGGUGGGGAUGACGUCAAGUCAUCAUGGCCCUUACGGCCUGGGCUACACACGUGCUACAAUGGUCGGUACAAAGGGUUGCCAAGCCGCGAGGUGGAGCUAAUCCCAUAAAACCGAUCGUAGUCCGGAUCGCAGUCUGCAACUCGACUGCGUGAAGUCGGAAUCGCUAGUAAUCGUGAAUCAGAAUGUCACGGUGAAUACGUUCCCGGGCCUU
rnacentral:rRNA from 1 species